CUAAGAAUAUUCCGCAAUGGACGGAAGUCUGACGGAGCGACGCCGCGUGGAUGACGAAGGCCGAAAGGUUGUAAAGUUCUUUUGCUGGGGAAGAAUAACCGCAGGAGGGAAUGCCUGUGGGAUGACAAGAACCGGCGAAUAAGCCCCGGCCAACUACGUGCCAGCAGCCGCGGUAACACGUAGGGGGGCGAGCGUUGUUCGGAAUUACUGGGCGUAAAGGGCAUGUAGGCGGCUUGGAAAGCCUGGCGUGAAAGUCUGCAGCUUAACUGCAGGGGUGCGCUGGGAACUGCUGAGCUUGAGUGACGGAGAGGGAGCUGGAAUUCCUGGUGUAGGGGUGAAAUCUGUAGAUAUCAGGAAGAACACCGAUGGCGAAGGCAAGCUCCUGGCCGAUGACUGACGCUGAGGUGCGAAAGUGUGGGGAUCAAACAGGAUUAGAUACCCUGGUAGUCCACACAGUCAACGAUGUGCACUAGGUGCUGGGGCGGUAGCUUCGGUGCCGGAGCGAACGUGGUGAAGUGCACCGCCUGGGGAGUAUGCUCGCAAGGGUGAAACUUAAAUGAAUUGACGGGGUCAUAGCUGUUUCCU
rnacentral:rRNA from 1 species